rnacentral:rRNA from 1 species
GCUUAACACAUGCAAGUCGAGGGGCAUCAGGAAGAAAGCUUGCUUUCUUUGCUGGCGACCGGCGCACGGGUGAGUAACACGUAUCCAACCUGCCCUUUAUUCGGGGAUAGCCUUUCGAAAGAAAGAUUAAUACCCGAUGGCAUAAUGAUUCCGCAUGGUUUCAUUAUUAAAGGAUUCCGGUAAAGGAUGGGGAUGCGUUCCAUUAGGUUGUUGGUGAGGUAACGGCUCACCAAGCCUUCGAUGGAUAGGGGUUCUGAGAGGAAGGUCCCCCACAUUGGAACUGAGACACGGUCCAAACUCCUACGGGAGGCAGCAGUGAGGAAUAUUGGUCAAUGGGCGCUAGCCUGAACCAGCCAAGUAGCGUGAAGGAUGAAGGCUCUAUGGGUCGUAAACUUCUUUUAUAUAAGAAUAAAGUGCAGUAUGUAUACUGUUUUGUAUGUAUUAUAUGAAUAAGGAUCGGCUAACUCCGUGCCAGCAGCCGCGGUAAUACGGAGGAUCCGAGCGUUAUCCGGAUUUAUUGGGUUUAAAGGGAGCGUAGGUGGACUGGUAAGUCAGUUGUGAAAGUUUGCGGCUCAACCGUAAAAUUGCAGUUGAUACUGUCAGUCUUGAGUACAGUAGAGGUGGGCGGAAUUCGUGGUGUAGCGGUGAAAUGCUUAGAUAUCACGAAGAACUCCGAUUGCGAAGGCAGCUCACUGGACUGCAACUGACACUGAUGCUCGAAAGUGUGGGUAUCAAACAGGAUUAGAUACCCUGGUAGUCCACACAGUAAACGAUGAAUACUCGCUGUUUGCGAUAUACAGUAAGCGGCCAAGCGAAAGCAUUAAGUAUUCCACCUGGGGAGUACGCCGGCAACGGUGAAACUCAAAGGAAUUGACGGGGGCCCGCACAAGCGGAGGAACAUGUGGUUUAAUUCGAUGAUACGCGAGGAACCUUACCCGGGCUUAAAUUGCAGUGGAAUGAUGUGGAAACAUGUCAGUGAGCAAUCACCGCUGUGAAGGUGCUGCAUGGUUGUCGUCAGCUCGUGCCGUGAGGUGUCGGCUUAAGUGCCAUAACGAGCGCAACCCUUAUCUUUAGUUACUAACAGGUUAUGCUGAGGACUCUAGAGAGACUGCCGUCGUAAGAUGUGAGGAAGGUGGGGAUGACGUCAAAUCAGCACGGCCCUUACGUCCGGGGCUACACACGUGUUACAAUGGGGAGUACAGAAGGCGGCUACCUGGUGACAGGAUGCUAAUCCCAAAAACCUCUCUCAGUUCGGAUCGAAGUCUGCAACCCGACUCCGUGAAGCUGGAUUCGCUAGUAAUCGCGCAUCAGCCACGGCGCGGUGAAUACGUUCCCGGGCCUUGUACACACCGCCCGUCAAGCCAUGGGAGCCGGGGGUACCUGAAGUACGUAACCGCAAGGAUCGUCCUAGGGUAAAACUGGUGACUGGGGCUAAAUG